GUUUGACUCGGUUUCUCGCCUGCCAAGAACCUUCCGCGUGGUGCCGGCUCCUCACUCGUUGAGAGACAAGAUGAUGUCGUCCUCCAGGUCGGAGUUGUCCGAGCUGUCGGCUGCAAGCCUCCUUCAGGAAGAAAACGGAAAUGGAUCAAGGGAAACGAAGAAAAGCGUGGCCACGAUUUAAGAAAGUCCUGAAAAUAAGCCAAAGUGGUGGCUGGAGAAACCAGUGGCCCCGGUCGGAAUGGGCACGACGCGGCCGCCGUUACCGGUGAGGAGGGCGCUGCGGCAGAGAAUGGAGGAGCUCGCAGAGCCGACCCCACAGCCUGCUCAGCUCCGUGCUGCCGGCACUUCCCACGUGCCCGUGGCCCAGGAUCCCAGGGGUCCCCGCUGGGAGCCACCAACGCCAGACCCGCCUGCCCGAGACCCGACCCGUGUGGCCCGCGGCUGUGCAGCCAGUGAGAGUCUCAACAACGCGGCCCUGCACCAGGACUCUGCGUCAGGACUGGAUCCCAUCCCGACCUCCCUCGUGCGUGCGUCAGCCGCAGGGCCCGCGGCCUUCGGGGCUUGGACGCCAGCAGCGCCCCCAGGUGCCCAGGCGCCGGGACUUCCUUCUCUACCUCUGUCCUCGCCUCCCAGGAGACCCUGGUCAGGCCCCCACUUCCCAAGGCCCCAGGGCAAAGGCAGUCUGGGUGUAGAGACACAGCGGGUGCCGCAGUGGACACACGGGCUCUGGGGGAAAGACCAGCCUCAGUGAGGGCUGCGCGCCGGGAGUCCAGCACUGGGCAAGGCCGGCAGGGGCGCAGAGGUGGUCUCCGGUCUGGGUGGCUCUCCUCGUCCCCGAAAGGGCUCACGAGCCCCAAAGGACGGAGCACUACCGCUUGCGGGGGCCGGUGUGAGGCAGAGCCUCCCCAGAGGUGCGGGGAGUGCGCCCUGCUCCGUCGUGAGUGGCCAUGGGUCUCAGAAACAGCAGCGGAAUACACGCUGCGGGCGCCACCUCUGUCACCGCCUCAGUCCUAGAGCCCGAGCCAAAAUGGCUUCCAACCGUCAUCUGCCGUGGCAUUUCUGCACCGCAGACCGUCCCACCAAGUUAAAGCAGCUUCUGUCACUGCUGACAGAACUGGAGUGCUCCACGUCGACUUGAGCUGGGAACGAGAGACUUCCCAAGCAGCGGAGGCUAAAGGAGGCAGAACUUCACCCGCCACUCACACAGUGAGGGGCUUCACCACGCGGGCAAGAACGGGAAGGCCGGUGACACUCGGGGGCACCGCCGGCAGCUGCUCCCUUAGCCUGCGCUGCUGCUGCUGCUCAUAACGGAAGGGAGACGAACUCGUGCCCGCGUGCCGCAACUCGGACGACAGAAAGGAUCCGUAACACUUGCCCUGGUGUCAUCAGUGCUGCCGUGUGUCCCUGGCCCCUUGGUCCCUCUUACCUGGCUCCCUGACCGUGACUAAUGCCCUCUCCCUCCACAAGGGAACACAGGAGCUGGUUCGAUGGCAGGUGGGCAGCUGGAAGGCACUGCUCCCCCACGCCGCCGCCUCCCACCCCGAGGGCCAGAGGCGCGUGAGAGCACAGCUCGUCCGAGCACCUGUCUGCCGCUCUCGCCGCACACCAGUGAGCACACGGUGCAGCACCUGCCGGGCCCAGGCCAGCACAAUAGUUUUCCAUGAUGAUGUAAGCGUGUAUUCGUGCUGUUCAGUAUGACGGCCCCAUGAAGCUACUGAGCACUUGAAACAUGAACAUGGAAAUGAGGAACAAAUUUUUAAACUGCAUUAAAAUUUUAAUGGCCACGUGUGGUUCGUGGCCACUCUUCGGUGUGACACCGAGGCUGAGGAUGCUGGCCCGGCUAGCUACUCAAGAAAGGGCCAGAGGUCACGGGGACAGCCCCUGGUCGGCGGGGCAGCACUAGGGAGGCCGGAUGGCCGCGAGCAGAGUCUGCCAACAGGGACACACCGCCGACGCGCUGCCCAAUGUGUCCUCUGGAAACAGUGCUGCUGCAAAUGGGAGCUUUUUCUUUCUAAUUUGGGGUGGGGGGGAGGAAAGAACAAACAAAGCCAAAGAAACUUUGCCCCCCCUGGCCUUUUAAGGCAAAAGCAGACAGGAAAGGGCUCCUCCACAAGAGGGCUUUUUGUUGCUGGAGAACUUGAAGAAGGAGCAGGUACAGAGGUGCCAGCUCUGCCCUCGGAAAGAAC